rnacentral:rRNA from 1 species
GGUAUCGGUUGCUCCUUCUUGCUAUUUGUAGGCGAUCUCGAAAGAUCAACUGGCUCCAAUGGAGACACUACAGGCUCCAUCAAAAUUCAGAUCUUCACGUCAUCCACCGGCGCUUGGGGGCCUGUUGUCUCGACCCAUGGUGGUUUUUUCUAUCAGCGGUGGUGUGAAAUAAGACGGGACGCCACUGCAGUCAUUCUUUAUGGCGGCAUCAUCCACUGGCUGGUGCAACAUGGCAGCGAGAUCCUUACCUACGACGUUCGCACAGCAGAGCCAGGCAUAUGCAUGAUGGUGCAGCUCCCAGCCACUACUAGAAACUUCAAAGCAGAGGAACUCCACUUGGGGUCCUUCUCCUUGCCGGACGGACACAAGCUAUUAAGGAUGCUCGCCACCGAUGGUUUCCGACUGUCCAUGUGGCAUCAACUCCCAAGCGGUGAUUGGGCUCCAGAGGCCAUGAUUGACAUGAAGGAGAAGUUGCGGAGGCUGGACCUGGACAUCCCUCCCGACGGUCAUGUGCUUUCCAUCAUCAAAUGGUCCAGUGGGGCGAGCAAUGCAGUGUUGCUGGAUAUAACUUACAAACAUUUUCCUAAUGGGGGCCCAAUUUCUUGUACCGUGUCCAUCGUCCUUGACUUGGAGACUAAGAAGAUGUCCAUGGAACAUUUGAAUUACUACUCAGAUCCCUCCUCCCUCCUCUUGGAGAUGGACCUUAAAUCUCGGUUACGAGCCAUGAAAUUUUCC